rnacentral:rRNA from 1 species
AUAUUGGACAAUGGGCGCAAGCCUGAUCCAGCCAUGCCGCGUGAGUGAAGAAGGCCUUCGGGUUGUCACGCUCUUUUGUCCGGAAAGAAAAGCAUACGGUUAAUAACCGGAUGUCAUGACGGUACCGGAAGAAUAAGCACCGGCUAACUUCGUGCCAGCAGCCGCGGUAAUACGAAGGGUGCAAGCGUUACCCGGAAUUACUGGGCGUAAAGCGUGCGUAGGUGGUUCGUUAAGUCUGAUGUGAAAGCCCUGGGCUCAACCUGGGAAUGGCAUUGGAUACUGGCGGACUGGAGUGCGGUAGAGGAUGGCGGAAUUCCCGGUGUAGCAGUGAAAUGCGUAGAGAUCGGGAGGAACAUCUGUGGCGAAGGCGGCCAUCUGGACCAGCACUGACACUGAGGCACGAAAGCGUGGGGAGCAAA